rnacentral:rRNA from 1 species
AAAGGAAUAGACGGGGGCUCGCACAAGCGGUGGAUCAUGUGGCUUAAUUCGUAGCUAAGCGAAGAACCUUACCAAGGUUAGAAAUCAUACUGCACGCCCCGGGAAACCGGGGAAGCCUUCGAGGGUGUAUGACAGGUGAUGCAUGGCCGUCGUCAGUUCGUGGCUUGAGCUGUUCCCUUAAGUGGGGAAACGAACGCAACCCUCGUUGCCUGUUACAAGUGUCAGGCGAGACUGCUCCCUCACGGGAGAGGAAGGUGAGGAUGACGCCAGGUCAGCAUGUCCCUUGAUACCUUGGGCUGCACACGUGAUACAAUGGGUAGUACAACGGGACGCAAUAUCGUAAGAUGGAGCAAAUCCUUAUAAAACUAUCCUCAGUUCGGAUUGAGGUCUGCAACUCGACCUCAUGAAGUUGGAAUCGCUAGUAAUCGUGAAUCAGCAACGUCACGGUGAAUACGUUCCCGAGCCUUGUACACACCGCCCGU